UAGUUAUGAUUUCCCUAAUAAAGAAAAAACACUUCCGAAUGUAACAAGCUAUAAAAUACUGAACACUGCCAUAAUUCCAUAAUCUUUUUUCUUAUAUUUCUUUUACUUCUCAUAUAUUUUGAUCUCUAAAACUAAGCAGAAUGAAUAAAAGUUAUUGUGGCUAGCAUUUACCAGCUAGUGCUGUGAGGAGUAGGCUCUUGUUUGCACAUUACUUUUUUGAACAAUUAAGUUGGAUGUGAACCUGAAAAUAUCUGCAUGAAAGAAUGCCAAAAUCCACAUCUAAUUUGCUGAAAAAAAGAAGAGAAAAAUACAAGAUUUAUUGAAUAUUUGAAUACUGUUAUCUGGUUUGAGGCCCCACCCACAUCAUCUUCACCUGCAUCACCCUUCUGAAGCUUCCAGUGAUAGACAUUUUUCUUUAAUCAAACAUAGCUCAGUUCCAACAUAAGACUUUUCCUGGACUUGAUCAUUCUAUGCUAUAAAAUACUGUAAACUGCUAUGAAUCCGGAAUCCCAGAUUAUGUGUGGCUCUUUAAGAAAUUAAUGUUUUGUUUUCCUUUCUCUGGUUUUGUUGAACUAUGGUUUUGUUCGAUACAAAUUGUCAAGCAACCUGUUUUAGGGAUACACACACACACACACACACACAUAAUUGCUGGUUAAUUGGCCUGGAAAAUGAGAUUGAGGAUUCAAUCAAGCUGUGCUAAUUGUUUAGUUUGAAACAAUGACUUACGUCACAGAUGCAUCUUUCUUUUUGAUAUGUUAAGGCCAAAAAAUGACAAUUAUUUUGGGCUCCAAUAAUAAAAGAAGGAUUAUUUUCACUUUUCCUCCUGUUAAAGGAAAAGAAUCCAUAGGAUAAACCCAAAUGAAAGUAACGUAUGUAAUACAACAAAGCAAAAGCACAAUGAAAAUGCAUGGAAUAACUUUGAAAUCAACAUUAAGAAAUAAACAUAGCUUACUUUACUAACUUUGGAAUCGGUGCCUCCAUCCCUGAAGAGCUCAGGUAAAGAACAAAUUCUUGCAAGUCUUUAUUUAUCAACAGGUUUAGACUUUCUUCUUAUAUAUAUUCAAUCCAAUUCAUCUCUCGUUUGUUCUUGCUUGUGUUGAUGAGCUAUUUGUUGCCUCCUUCAAAUUUCCAAAAACCAUACAUACGUGCCAGCAGUGUCAACCAUUUUCUUCAGCGUUCCUUCAUCGUUUGAAUUCUCGAAAUAUCAUCAACGUUGUCUGUAUUAUAUUGGAGUUUAGUUUCAGAAGAAGAUCAAAUCAUUAUCAGUCUGCUGGUCAUCGAUUCAUAUUAAAGAUUGGCAUGGCGCAAUUUGAUUCCAAGUCAUCUCAGUGGACCUUUUUUUCCCUAUCUAAUUUGAUUGCAGAGUUUGAGAAGCAGUUGUAAUCAUCAACUCUCUGCUUUGCUUCCCAAGAGUUCUUGUUCAGCCUCAAAAAAA